rnacentral:lncRNA from 1 species
CUCAUACAACUGAUAUCCCCUAGACACAAACCCAUCUAUCUAUAUAACUACGUCGAAAACCCAAACUCAAAUUGUAAUGCCCCCUAAAAUGAAAGAGGUCAUAAUAUUGUAUCUAUGUACAUUAGUUGCCAUUGUAGGUAAACAACGCAUCUAAACUAUCUAACCGUUUACAAAAUACUCAGAACUACCGUUUCAAAACUUUUCAGUUUACCACCAUUUCAGCCUUAAUCGAUUCCCUCCAUUGAAACCACUGAUUCUCCAACAUUAGAUUCCCCCAAAUCCUCUAAUGUCGUUCAAAAUCUGGGUUCGCAGGCACAUUCCUUUUAUCAGCCCAGUUGUAAAGAGAAUACGAGAAUGACCGAAGCAUUCGAUUUCGGAACAUUCGACAGGAUCAUAUACAACAGAACCUGUUAUCAGGUUAUCAAAAAAAGCAAAAAUAAAACCAGGUUUACAAAAAAACAAAAAUCAAACCCAUCUAUUUUCGUGUAGGUAAACUAAUACCCAGAUACCCAGGUUUGCUCUGGUUUUGCUCUAGUUUGUAUGUUGUAAGCCCAUAACCAGGUUUUAAAAAACCAAAAAUCAAACCCAUCUUUUUCGUGUAGGUAAACUAAUACCCAGAUACCCAAUUCUGCUCUGGUUUUGCUCUGGUUAGGACUAACAAUGAACGGGGCUCCAUGUACAUAGAAGAGAAAGACGUUUUUUACCUGCAAUUUGACGGCAGACCACUCACGCUUGCUAGUCAAUGUCGAAUGCUCUGGAAUUUUCAAAUGGAAUUUCAAUACCUGGAAUUUCUUGAACUGCAACAGAAGAAACCCCUCAACCAAAUUUCCAUCUUUAGGAACCCUAAUCAGAACACCAAUCUCCAAACUAAAACCAUAAUCAAAACGUAGGACUAAGAAAAUUAACCCCAUAAUCAAAAUGGAUAAUUAAUUGCAG